UACGAAGGGGGGCUAGCGUUGCUCGGAAUCACUGGGCGUAAAGCGCACGUAGGCGGAUCUUUAAGUCAGGGGUGAAAUCCUGGAGCUCAACUCCAGAACUGCCUUUGAUACUGGGGAUCUCGAGUCCGGGAGAGGUGAGUGGAACUCCGAGUGUAGAGGUGAAAUUCGUAGAUAUUCGGAAGAACACCAGUGGCGAAGGCGGCUCACUGGCCCGGUACUGACGCUGAGGUGCGAAAGCGUGGGGGAGCAAACAGG
rnacentral:rRNA from 1 species